AUGGUUGCCGACAGCUUUCUCCUUAUCCCCAGCCUCCUGCUCCUGGUGGCCGGGGUGUCUCUGCUCACCAUUUCCUGGCGCCGACAGGGUUCUGACCGGCGCCAGCAAUGGUGGACAUGGUGGCUGCAAGUGGUGGCAUUGAAGUCAGGUGCUGAGAGGCAGGCAGGCAGGCAGAGAAGCCCCUUGUGCAGGCCACGUUGCUCCCAGCAGCAAGCAUCACGGUGGCAGGGCAGUCCCACCCUGCCCCAUCUCAUCCAGCCAGGAAAGACCCGGCCUUUGUUGCUGCGCAGUCUGUGCCCCUCUCUUCACAUGGACUCUGCCUCUGGUACCACGAGCUCUGUGGGGAAACCCAGCAGGCUUCCCAGGCAGGACCAGCGCCCGCAGGUUCUGGUGGCACGCGGGAUCCCCAGGACGCUCAGUCAGCGUCCUAGGCUAGGCGGUGGAGUUGAAGACCUGCCACCUGAGAUCUCCAACUGCACAAAGCCACCAGUGAAAGGGAUGGUCUUCCAGGAGGGCCUCGUUCAAAUGGAGGAGAGAAAACGCUGGUGGGACUACAAGACCAAGAGGCUUUUUUGGCAUAUGCUCUCCCCAGCACUUCCGAAAGGGUGCAAGAAAGCAGGAGCUGCAAGACCAUCCCAAAGACCGGCUCUGAGCCUGGAGAAAAAAGCAGACAGCAAAACUGAAACCUGCCAGCCCUUCAACUCUGGCUUCAGUGACAAGAGAAGCACAGAGAAAUUGGACAUGCUUGGUAUGGAAAGUCUGUACCGGCAGCUCCUGUUGUCCCUAAAACGUCCCAAGACUAACAAGUCAGGCAGUGGAACUGAAGAGCAACCACCUGUAACCUCUUCCUGCACGCUGCCACCGGUGAAAGGGACAAAUGCGCGUGAGAAUAUCAUUCAAACAGAGGAGGGGAAAUGCUGGUGGAGCAGCAAGGCCAAGAGGCCUUCUGAGUAUUGUAUACCCUCCCCAGCACUUCCCAGAGUCUAGACGGAAGCUGGAGCAACUGCAGGACCAACACCUCGGCCAGCUUCAAGCCUGCAACCAAGGAGACAGCAGAACUGAAACCUGCCAGCACCUAAACACUGCUGCCGUUGUUAUGGAUUUAUUGUUGACAUACCAAGAGAAAAAUGAACCUCAGACCUAAGAUCAUCAUUUGCAUCACACCAUUUCAGUUUGAGGUCUUUCAGAUUUUUAAAAAGUUAAUUUAAUAAAAGUCACACUAGUCUUCA
rnacentral:lncRNA from 1 species